rnacentral:rRNA from 1 species
GAUUAAGAGCUUGCUCUUAUGAAGUUAGCGGCGGACGGGUGAGUAACACGUGGGUAACCUGCCCAUAAGACUGGGAUAACUCCGGGAAACCGGGGCUAAUACCGGAUAACAUUUUGAACUGCAUGGUUCGAAAUUGAAAGGCGGCUUCGGCUGUCACUUAUGGAUGGACCCGCGUCGCAUUAGCUAGUUGGUGAGGUAACGGCUCACCAAGGCAACGAUGCGUAGCCGACCUGAGAGGGUGAUCGGCCACACUGGGACUGAGACACGGCCCAGACUCCUACGGGAGGCAGCAGUAGGGAAUCUUCCGCAAUGGACGAAAGUCUGACGGAGCAACGCCGCGUGAGUGAUGAAGGCUUUCGGGUCGUAAAACUCUGUUGUUAGGGAAGAACAAGUGCUAGUUGAAUAAGCUGGCACCUUGACGGUACCUAACCAGAAAGCCACGGCUAACUACGUGCCAGCAGCCGCGGUAAUACGUAGGUGGCAAGCGUUAUCCGGAAUUAUUGGGCGUAAAGCGCGCGCAGGUGGUUUCUUAAGUCUGAUGUGAAAGCCCACGGCUCAACCGUGGAGGGUCAUUGGAAACUGGGAGACUUGAGUGCA